AAUAACACUAAACUGGCAGCAACAAAUAUUAAUUAACCUUGACUCGGCGUGUUUAGUUAGCAGGGAUGUAUUUAUUUGCGCCCAUUGACUCUGAGCUCAACAUUUCGAAGUUGGGCUACACAUUUUUUUCAAUGUUCCAAGGGGGGAAAUAAACAAAGGUCUUACGUCAUAUUGUGAGAGGGGAAACCGAGGAAAGACGGAGGCACUCUAUGAAAAGGUUUAAACGGGGGAUUGUCAACGAUGAACUACAGGGACGGGACUAUCAUGUAUGCAUUAUUUCUUGAAGGAAUCCGUUUGUCCAAGUGCAGAGGGGAAAUCCUUUCCGGAACCUCCUUUCACACAGGAUCAGGCAGACAGGAGAGAGGGAGAGGAGAGGAGCGAGGGAGAGGAAAGGGAGAGAGCUUUAUCAGCGAGUGGGCCUGACACGCCUGUCACCCGUGUCCCCGCUGAGGCCUGUGUACCGAGACAGGAGGUGUCACAUCCCCACAUCGCUGCCUUUGUGCCACCAGCUGCACUUCUGAGGACGCUCUCUCUCGCCACAAACAGGGCUGGAGCUGAAGCUGGAGCUGGGCCAUCAACAUGGGGGGCCAUGGGCCGCUGACACUCACAGACAGAUAUAAACAGGGGCUGCUUGCACCAGGGAAGUCCACUGUUGUUGUCCGGUGUGGUGUUGGUGCA